rnacentral:rRNA from 1 species
GCUGGCGGCGUGCUUAACACAUGCAAGUCGAGCGAUGAAGCUUCCUUCGGGAAGUGGAUUAGCGGCGGACGGGUGAGUAACACGUGGGUAACCUGCCUCAAAGUGGGGGAUAGCCUUCCGAAAGGAAGAUUAAUACCGCAUAAUAUAAGAGAAUCGCAUGAUUUUCUUAUCAAAGAUUUAUUGCUUUGAGAUGGACCCGCGGCGCAUUAGCUAGUUGGUAAGGUAACGGCUUACCAAGGCAACGAUGCGUAGCCGACCUGAGAGGGUGAUCGGCCACAUUGGAACUGAGACACGGUCCAGACUCCUACGGGAGGCAGCAGUGGGGAAUAUUGCGCAAUGGGGGAAACCCUGACGCAGCAACGCCGCGUGGGUGAUGAAGGUCUUCGGAUUGUAAAGCCCUGUUUUCUAGGACGAUAAUGACGGUACUAGAGGAGGAAGCCACGGCUAACUACGUGCCAGCAGCCGCGGUAAUACGUAGGUGGCGAGCGUUGUCCGGAUUUACUGGGCGUAAAGGGUGCGUAGGCGGAUGUUUAAGUGGGAUGUGAAAUCCCCGGGCUUAACCUGGGGGCUGCAUUCCAAACUGGAUAUCUAGAGUGCAGGAGAGGAAAGCGGAAUUCCUAGUGUAGCGGUGAAAUGCGUAGAGAUUAGGAAGAACACCAGUGGCGAAGGCGGCUUUCUGGACUGUAACUGACGCUGAGGCACGAAAGCGUGGGUAGCAAACAGGAUUAGAUACCCUGGUAGUCCACGCCGUAAACGAUGGAUACUAGGUGUAGGGGGUAUCAACUCCCCCUGUGCCGCAGUUAACACAAUAAGUAUCCCGCCUGGGGAGUACGGUCGCAAGAUUAAAACUCAAAGGAAUUGACGGGGGCCCGCACAAGCAGCGGAGCAUGUGGUUUAAUUCGAAGCAACGCGAAGAACCUUACCUGGACUUGACAUCCCUUGCAUAGCCUAGAGAUAGGUGAAGCCCUUCGGGGCAAGGAGACAGGUGGUGCAUGGUUGUCGUCAGCUCGUGUCGUGAGAUGUUAGGUUAAGUCCUGCAACGAGCGCAACCCUUGUUAUUAGUUGCUACCAUUAAGUUGAGCACUCUAAUGAGACUGCCUGGGUAACCAGGAGGAAGGUGGGGAUGACGUCAAAUCAUCAUGCCCCUUAUGUCCAGGGCUACACACGUGCUACAAUGGUAGGUACAAUAAGACGCAAGACCGUGAGGUGGAGCAAAACUUAUAAAACCUAUCUCAGUUCGGAUUGUAGGCUGCAACUCGCCUACAUGAAGCUGGAGUUGCUAGUAAUCGCGAAUCAGAAUGUCGCGGUGAAUACGUUCCCGGGCCUUGUACACACCGCCCGUCACACCAUGAGAGCUGGUAACACCCGAAGUCCGUGAGGUAACCGUAAGGAGCCAGCGGCCGAAGGUGGGAUUAGUGAUUGGGGUGAAGUCGUAACAAGGU